UACAGAGGGUGCGAGCGUUGUUCGGAAUUACUGGGCGUAAAGCGCGCGCAGGCGGCCCUUUAAGUCCGUCGGUCAAAUGCCGGGGCUCAACCCCGAGCGUGCCGAGGGUACUGGAGGGCUGGAGACACGUAGAGGCAAGCGGAAUUCCGGGUGUAGCGGUGGAAUGCGUAGAGAUCCGGAAGAACACCGGAGGCGAAGGCGGCUUGCUGGGCGUGAUCUGACGCUGAGGCGCGAAAGCGUGGGGAGCGAACAGG
rnacentral:rRNA from 1 species